AACGCUGGCGGCAUGCCUUACACAUGGCAAGUCGAACGGCAGCACGGGAGCAAUCCUUGGUGGCGAGUGGCGAACGGGUGAGUAAUAUAUCGGAACGUGCCCAGUCGUGGGGGAUAACGCAGCGAAAGUUGUGCUAAUACCGCAUACGAUCUAUGGAUGAAACGGGGGAUCGCAAGACCUCGCGCGAUUGGAGCGGCCGAUAUCAGAUUAGGUUGUUGGUGAGGUAAAAGCUCACCAAGCCUGCGAUCUGUAGCUGGUCUGAGAGGACGACCAGCCACACUGGAACUGAGACACGGUCCAGACUCCUACGGGAGGCAGCAGUGGGGAAUUUUGGACAAUGGAUGCAAGUCUGAUCCAGCAAUGCCGCGUGCAGGACGAAGGCCUUCGGGUCGUAAACUGCUUUUGUACAGAACGAAAAAAGUCUUUAAUAACACUAGAGGCUCAUGACGGUACUGUAAGAAUAAGCACCGGCUAACUACGUG
rnacentral:rRNA from 1 species